rnacentral:tRNA from 1 species
GUUUUAGUGGAAUUUGGCACAGUGGACUCUUAAUCCAUUGGUCAUAGGUUCGAAUCCUAUACGACCCACCA